rnacentral:snRNA from 1 species
UUGCUUUAGCAGCAUAUAUGCUAAACAUUGGAAUGAUACAGAGGAGAUUACCAUAGCUCCCGAACAGCGAUAAUACUCAAAUUCAUGAAGCAUUAUUCCAUAUUUUU